AGAUUGAACGCUGGCGGCAUGCCUUACACAUGCAAGUCGAACGGCAGCACGGGAGCAAUCCUGGUGGCGAGUGGCGAACGGGUGAGUAAUACAUCGGAACGUGCCCAAUCGUGGGGGAUAACGCAGCGAAAGCUGUGCUAAUACCGCAUAAGAUCUACGGAUGAAAGCAGGGGAUCGCAAGACCUUGCGCGAAUGGAGCGGCCGAUGGCAGAUUAGGUAGUUGGUGAGGUAAAGGCUCACCAAGCCUACGAUCCGUAACUGGUCUGAGAGGAUGAUCAGUCACACUGGAACUGAGACACGGUCCAGACUCCUACGGGAGCAGCAGUGGGGAAUAUGGACAAGUGGGACGAAAGCCUGAUCCAGCCAUGCCGCGUGUGUAGAAGAAGGUCUU
rnacentral:rRNA from 1 species